rnacentral:rRNA from 1 species
GCAUAAUCUCUGAGGAGAAAAGCAGGGGAUCGCAAGACCUUGCGCUUUUGGAGCGGCCGAUGUCUGAUUAGCUAGUUGGUGAGGUAAAGGCUUACCAAGGCUUCGAUCAGUAGCUGGUCUGAGAGGACGACCAGCCACACUGGGACUGAGACACGGCCCAGACUCCUACGGGAGGCAGCAGUGGGGAAUUUUGGACAAUGGGGGCAACCCUGAUCCAGCCAUGCCGCGUGAGUGAAGAAGGCCUUCGGGUUGUAAAGCUCUUUCAGCCGGAACGAAACGGUCACGGUUAAUAACCGUGAUCACUGACGGUACCGGAAGAAGAAG